rnacentral:rRNA from 1 species
CCAAUAGCGUAUAUUAAAGUUGUUGCAGUUAAAAAGCUCGUAGUUGAAUUUCGAGACCGGUUUAUUGGUCGUGCUUUUGUACGUACUGGUAUUAUUGGUUUCUCCUUUCUGACGAAUCAUAAUGCCAUUAAUUUGGUGUUUUGGGGAAUCAGGACUGUUACUUUGAAAAAAUUAGAGUGUUUAAAGCAGGCUCACGCUUGAAUACAUUAGCAUGUAAUAACGAAAUAGGACGUUUGAUUUUAUUUUGUUGGUUUCUAGGAUCGACGUAAUGAUUAAUAGGGAUAGUUGGGGGCAUUAGUAUUCAAUUGUCAGAGGUGAAAUUCUUGGAUUUAUUGAAGACUAACUACUGCGAAAGCAUUUGCCAAGGAUGUUUUCAUUAAUCAAGAACGAAAGUUAGGGGAUCGAAGACGAUCAGAUACCGUCGUAGUCUUAACCAUAAACUAUGCCGACUAGGGAUCGGAUGAUGUUAAUUUUUUAAUGACUCAUUCGGCGCCUUACG